CAGCAGCCACGGGAAUACGAAGGGGGCUAGCGUUGUUCGGAAUUACUGGGCGUAAAGCGCACGUAGGCGGACAUUUAAGUCAGGGGUGAAAUCCCGGGGCUCAACCCCGGAACUGCCUUUGAUACUGGGUGUCUAGAGUAUGGAAGAGGUGAGUGGAAUUCCGAGUGUAGAGGUGAAAUUCGUAGAUAUUCGGAUGAACACCAGUGGCGAAGGCGGCUCACUGGUCCAUUACUGACGCUGAGGUGCGAAAGCGUGGGGAGCAAACAGGAUUAGAUACCCCUGUAGUCCCUGUCUCUUAUAA
rnacentral:rRNA from 1 species